GCUUUUCAAAAAAUGUAGGACUACAUGUUGUAUAUGCUAAUAUCUUUUUGUAUGCUGUACUGACAGUCCUCAACCUGGAAGAUAUGUUUUGUUCCUAACCAUCUAUAAUCCAUUCUCUAUGAAGUUCAGCCUGUCUGCCCAAAUUCCUUUGGAAAUACAUAGUUAGUCAACCAACAUAGAAACAAUCAAACUUGAAGUCCUCAACCUGGAAGAUAUGUUUUAUUCCUAACCAUCUAUAAUCCAUUCUCUAUGAAGUUCACCCUGUCUGCCCAAAUUCCUUUGGAAAUACAUAGUUAGUCAACCAACAUAGAAACAAUCAA